ACUUCGUAUGCGUUCUAAUUACGGCCGUGUGCCACCGCACCCGCACAGACCCGCACCCGUCGCCGCCAGCCUCCCCCUCUUCGCGUCCAACGGCGGCGCCGCUGCCCUCGGGCCUUGGCCUUUCUUCCGCCGUCCGCCGCUCGCUUCCCUCACUGCCCCUGCACGAUUAUCCAUUGCCGGUCGCCGCUCCCCUAGGUCGCGUCGCCGUAUACGCUGUUCCGGCUUCCUCAACUCAAGCCCGAGGUCAGCCGGCCUACAACGACCUCGCCUUCCCCACGCGCGUCGACGCCGACAGCCGCCUCUACGCUGCAACCGACAAGAUGACCCGGAAUCCCAAGCGGAAGCUUCCAGCCUCGCCUGCACGUGGGUGAAAGGAUGACUUGUUCUUGUUGGUUUCUUCGUUAUACUUGGAAGCUGGAAUCAAGAAAUUGGAGCUAGCAUCAGAAAGCACGCGGAUUCAUGGCCUGUGUUACCCAUGGCAAUCUGAACAAGUCCUUGUUGGUUUCUUCUUUGUACUUGGGAGCUGGAAUCAAGAAAUUGGAGCUACCAUCAGACUGCAUGAGGAUUCAUCGCCUGGCUUACCCAUCGCAAUCUGAACAAGGUUCAUUUUUUCUUCAUGGAGAAUUGGAGCAUGGAGCAGAGCGUGUCAUUGCAACCAUCCUUGAUUUACCUAGGGUAGUUAUUUUAUUUCGUUUUCCUGGACGGCCAAAGAUUGGGUUUACUGUUAUGCUUCUUGGUGCAGUUGCAUUUGGUAUCAACUAUUUCUGUUUUGAGAUAUGUCGAGAGAUGUCACUACUUCGUGGUUCGUCAGUUGAUGUUUUGCUAGGGAAGACUGGUAUAUAUGUGCUGCAGCGUAGGUUGUGGAAAUUGGGAGCUCUCCUGCUUUGAUCUAGAGGAAAACUGGAUACCGGAUCAAAGUUGAGAGGACAGUUUUUUCCCUGAUACAAACUGUCGUGUUAUCAUUAUAGCCAAUUAAUUGAUUGAGAUUUUAUGAACGUGUCAGGCAAAUACCCAUAGCAGAUCUUAUGCCAAUGUUUAUGGUCUACUAUUACAUUAAAGUAUGUCUCUCACUCAUGAUCCUACUUCCCUGUUUCUAGCAGUUUAGACUUGAUGUUAUAUAGUCUUGGGUGGUUACAAUAUCUACCAAACUCCAACCAUACUUGGAAGUUACCUCACAUUUUCUCCUCAACCAAAAAACUCAGGGGUAAAAAAUAGUAUGUUUCCUUUCAUAGUCUGCAAUCCUCAUAUUAAUUAGCGGGACAAUUAUCAGAUGAUAAAAUUAUAUCAAAUACUUUUUAGUCUUUUGUUGUUCUUUUUCGUAUUAUAGUAUGGUUGGUUCUCCUCUGUUGAGGUAUAUUCUGAUGAUUGUUAUCAGGUACAGAGCCAUGAUAAUAUUUUUUUUUGUAUAUAUACUACACACACAAGAAUACUUUUGUAUAUGCACUGCACAUACAAAAUUAUUACAAUUGGUUUUUAGCACUAGAUCUUGUGUCUUUCCUUAACUGAUUGUAUAAAUCUUUUCACAUAGUUGAACACCAAUUCACCAUCACAGAGUUCCAUCCAGAUUUGAGUUGACUACUGUCUUUGGUGAUCAUAGAACAAAUUGGGAUAUUUCUCCUUUGUUCAUACUUUUCCUAUUUGUGAUAUGGCCAAGCUUGCCCGAGUUGCAAGCUCAUGGCUAAUAUCUAAAAUUCUUCCACCAUGUAUCUUUAAAUAGCAAGUCACUGUAAUGGUUUCUUUGUAAAAUGCACCACAGGUCCUAAAACUAUUCGAGGUGUGUCAAGUGAGUCCUAAUUUUAUCAAAGUGCAUAUUUGGAUCCUAAUUCUUUGUAAGUUGUUCAAACGUGGUCCUAUUUGAGCCCAAACCGCUGCUGACCGGCCAGGUGGCAAGUUGACUGCUGCCACGUCAGCCAAGGUCGUUGGGCGGUAGUUUUCCCGCCGUUCAUGUGGUCCCGAAGUGUGCAGAAACCCCCUUAUAAGAAUAGAGACCGCAGUUGGCAAAUUCUUUCUCAUUCUCUCUCUUUCUUCUUCCCAUCGCUUGAGCCGCCCGUGCUGCCGCCCCCCUUCAAAGCUCGCCGGAGGGGAAACCCUAGAAUCGCCCUCCGUGUCACCUCUGCUUCGGGCAGGCUAGGAAGAAUCGGGGGAAAGGACCGCGGAAUGAGUAAAAUUGAAAGGUUGGGCCUAUUUGCAAUUUCCAACGACCCGACAUUUAGCUAGUGUGGCAGUCAACUUGCCACCUGGCCGGGCAGCAGCGGCUCGGGCUCGAAUAGGACCACGCGUGAACAACUUACAAAGAAUUAGGAUCCAAAAAUAUGCACUUUGAAAGAAUUAGUUCUCACUUGGCACACCUCGAAUAGUUUUAGGACCUACAGUGUAUUUUACUCGCAAACUUAUGUAGUAUAGUAAUUUAUCGUAGAUAGAGAAAUCUUCAAGUUGAUUAUUUUUCUAUAUGCACAGAUUUCAGCUGCUCCAAAUGCCACCGCUAUAGGUCACACUGAUGCAUGAUACUAAAGAGAAUAAAAUCACCGGGAGGAGGGGAGGUCGAUGCCUGAUCAUACUAUGAAUUUGUUAGGUUUGGAGACGAUAAUGACGGAGCCGGAUGUCAUGACUGAAAUAAACGGUGUAUAUUGCUCCAGUCGACCAAUUCACAUAACAACUCCUAGAAGAAAUUCUGGAAACGAGGGAGCCGAGGGAGGUUCAAACAAGAGGACGAGAUAUUUGGAGAGAUUUCUCAACUCCGUAGCAUUUUCAAAGGAUGCUGAAUAUGCCCAAGGAAGUCUUGAGUCAUUAUUAGACUAGGAAUUGGUGUAUUAUCAUGUCAUCAUUGAAGAAGUUCUUUAAAAGUUUUGUUGAUGUCCCUUGAUUCAAGGUGGUGUCGUUCUGUGGAUUUUUCAGAGAAACAUGUGUAUUCUUUGUAGCAGUGUAUUCUGAAAAUGCUUAUUCUUUACAGAAAAAAAAGAACCGGCGCGGCAAGGCGCGCAAUUCCGUCUAGUAA